GAUGAACGCUGGCGGCGUGCCUAAUACAUGCCAGUCGAGCGAACAGACGAGGAGCUUGCUCCUCUGACGUUAGCGGCGGACGGGUGAGUAACACGUGGAUAACCUACCUAUAAGACUGGGAUAACUUCGGGAAACCGGAGCUAAUACCGGAUAAUAUAUUGAACCGCAUGGUUCAAUAGUGAAAGACGGUUUUGCUGUCACUUAUAGAUGGAUCCGCGCCGCAUUAGCUAGUUGGUAAGGUAACGGCUUACCAAGGCAACGAUGCGUAGCCGACCUGAGAGGGUGAUCGGCCACACUGGAACUGUGACACGGUCCAGACUCCUACGGGAGGCAGCAGUAGGGAAUCUUCCGCAAUGGGCGAAAGCCUGACGGAGCAACGCCGCGUGAGUGAUGAAGGUCUUCGGAUCGUAAAACUCUGUUAUUAGGGAAGAACAAAUGUGUAAGUAACUAUGCACGUCUUGACGGUACCUAAUCAGAAAGCCACGGCUAACUACGUG
rnacentral:rRNA from 1 species